ensembl:rRNA 5S_rRNA 5S ribosomal RNA
UUCAGCGGCCUUACCACCAUGGACACGCACAAUCUCGUCUGAUCUCGGAAGCUAAGCAUGGUCGGGCCUGGUUAGUACUUUGAUGGGAGACUGCCUGGGAAUACCAGGUGCUGCAAGUG